GCGGAUGGCCGGACGGCCGCGAAGGCGACUUCGAGGAAAGUCCGGACUCCAGGGAGAGAUGGCGGCGGGUAACGCCCGCCCGGGGCAACCCGAGGGAAAGCGCCACAGAAAUCAGACCGCCCGCGGCUCCGGUCGCGGGAAAGGGUGAAACGGUGGGGUAAGAGCCCACCGCGCU
rnacentral:RNase_P_RNA from 1 species